UAAAACAACUAGACUGUGAACUGUCCUUUUUCGGUUAUCAUGGUACCGGUGCUGUAUAUCUGAAAGGUACAGUACUGUGAUAACUGAAGAAUGAUGGUGCCAUCACAAUGAGAUGGGAU
rnacentral:pre_miRNA from 11 species